rnacentral:rRNA from 1 species
UACGUAGGGUGCAAGCGUUGUCCGGAAUUAUUGGGCGUAAAGAGCUCGUAGGCGGCUUGUCGCGUCGGCUGUGAAAACCUGGGGCUCAACCCCGGGCCUGCAGCCGAUACGGGCAAGCUAGAAUUCGGUAGGGGAGACUGGAAUUCCUAGUGUAGCGGUGAAAUGCGCAGAUAUCAGGAGGAACACCGGUGGCGAAGGCGGGUCUCUGGGCCGAUAUUGACGCUGAGGAGCGAAAGCGUGGGGAGCGAACAGG